rnacentral:rRNA from 1 species
GAUGAACGCUAGCUACAGGCUUAACACAUGCAAGUCGAGGGGCAGCAUGGUCUUAGCUUGCUAAGGCCGAUGGCGACCGGCGCACGGGUGAGUAACACGUAUCCAACCUGCCGUCUACUCUUGGACAGCCUUCUGAAAGGAAGAUUAAUACAAGAUGGCAUCAUGAGUCCGCAUGUUCACAUGAUUAAAGGUAUUCCGGUAGACGAUGGGGAUGCGUUCCAUUAGAUAGUAGGCGGGGUAACGGCCCACCUAGUCUUCGAUGGAUAGGGGUUCUGAGAGGAAGGUCCCCCACAUUGGAACUGCGACACGGUCCAAACUCCUACGGGAGGCAGCAGUGAGGAAUAUUGGUCAAUGGGCGAGAGCCUGAACCAGCCAAGUAGCGUGAAGGAUGACUGCCCUAUGGGUUGUAAACUUCUUUUAUAAAGGAAUAAAGUCGGGUAUGGAUACCCGUUUGCAUGUACUUUAUGAAUAAGGAUCGGCUAACUCCGUG